rnacentral:rRNA from 1 species
CCUACGGGAGGCAGCAGUGGGGAAUAUUGGACAAUGGGGGCAACCCUGAUCCAGCCAUGCCGCGUGUGUGAAGAAGGCCCUCGGGUUGUAAAGCACUUUCAGUGAGGAAGAACGCCUGGUGGUUAAUACCCAUCAGGAAAGACAUCACUCACAGAAGAAGCACCGGCUAACUCCGUGCCAGCAGCCGCGGUAAUACGGAGGGUGCGAGCGUUAAUCGGAAUUACUGGGCGUAAAGCGCGCGUAGGUGGCUUGAUAAGCCGGUUGUGAAAGCCCCGGGCUCAACCUGGGAACGGCAUCCGGAACUGUCCAGCUAGAGUGCAGGAGAGGAAGGUAGAAUUCCCGGUGUAGCGGUGAAAUGCGUAGAGAUCGGGAGGAAUACCAGUGGCGAAGGCGGCCUUCUGGACUGACACUGACACUGAGGUGCGAAAGCGUGGGUAGCAAACAGGAUUAGAUACCCCGGUAGUC